CAAGACCGCGUGAGGGAGGAAGGCUCUUGGGUUGUAAACCUCUUUUCUCAGGGAAGAAGCUCUGACGGUACCUGAGGAAUCAGCCUCGGCUAACUCCGUGCCAGCAGCCGCGGUAAUACGGAGGAGGCAAGCGUUAUCCGGAAUUAUUGGGCGUAAAGCGUCCGCAGGUGGCGAUUCAAGUCUGCUGUCAAAGCACGGGGCUUAACUCCGUUAAGGCAGUGGAAACUGAAUAGCUAGAGUGCCGUAGGGGUAGAGGGAAUUCCCGGUGUAGCGGUGAAAUGCGUAGAGAUCGGGAAGAACAUCGGUGGCGAAAGCGCUCUACUGGACGGCAACUGACACUCAGGGACGAAAGCUAGGGGAGCGAAUGGGAUUAGAUACCCCAGUAGUC
rnacentral:rRNA from 1 species